rnacentral:lncRNA from 10 species
CCUGCAGUUUUAAUUGAAUUGACUUUGGUUUUGUUUCUCAAAAAGUGGGACAACAAAAAUACCUACUUAAGACUACUGUUUCAGGCACUGUCUAAUUGCAUUCAUCAGAUCUUAUUAUAUUCAUUCCAUGAGGAAUCGAAGACCUAUUCAGUCAAGCAGCAGCCCAAGGUUACACGUCUAAUAAAGGGCACAUUCCCAGAUCAAGCCCAUGUAGGCUGACUCUAGAUUCUGAUUUUGAACUGCUCUGUUUCUGAAUUGGAGUUUAACUCCUCUGUUACCCCUAGAUUAAUGGUGAGUAUUUUCUCUCACCCAAGUUAAUUCCAUUAACUCUAAUCAGAACCC